GAUGAACGCUGGCGGUAUGCUUAACACAUGCAGGUCGAACGGACUCUUCGGAGUUAGUGGCGGACGGGUGAGUAACGCGUGAGAAUCUGGCUUUGGGUUCGGGACAACCACUGGAAACGGUGGCUAAUACCGGAUGUGCCGAGAGGUAAAAGAGAAAUUGCCUGAAGAUGAGCUCGCGUCUGAUUAGCUAGUUGGUAAGGUAAAGGCUCACCAAGGCAGCGAUCAGUAGCUGGUCUGAGAGGAUGACCAGCCACACUGGGACUGAGACACGGCCCAGACUCCUACGGGAGGCAGCAGUGGGGAAUUUUCCGCAAUGGGCGAAAGCCUGACGGAGCAAUACCGCGUGAGGGAAGAAGGCUCUUGGGUUGUAAACCUCUUUUCUUAGGGAAGAACAAAAUGACGGUACCUAAGGAAUCAGCAUCGGCUAACUCCGUG
rnacentral:rRNA from 1 species